rnacentral:rRNA from 1 species
ACGCGCUGGACCGUGUACAAGUCUCUUGGAACAGAGCGUCAUAGAGGGUGAGAAUCCCGUCUUUGACACGGACUACCAGUGCUUUGUGAUGCGCUCUCAAAGAGUCGCGUUGUUUGGGAAUGCAGCGCAAAAUGGGAGGUGAAUUCCUUCUAAAGCUAAAUAUUGGCGAGAGACCGAUAGCGAACAAGUACCGUGAGGGAAAGAUGAAAAGCACUUUGGAAAGAGAGUUAAACAGUACGUGAAAUUGCUGAAAGGGAAACGCUUGAAGUCAGUCGCGUCGUCCGGAACUCAGCCUUGCUUCGGCUUGGUGCACUUUCCGGUUGACGGGCCAGCAUCGAUUUUGACCGCUGGAAAAGGGCUGGAGGAAUGUGGCACCUUCGGGUGUGUUAUAGCCUUC